CCAGACGGCUGGACGGCCGCGGCGUUCUCACGAGCGUCGAGGAAAGUCCGGGCUCCACGGAAACACGGUGCCGGGUAACGCCCGGCGGGGGCGACCCCAGGGACAGUGCCACAGAGAGCAGACCGCCAUGACCUGUCAUGGCAAGGGUGAAAGGGUGCGGUAAGAGCGCACCGCGCGGCUGGUAACAGCGGCGGCAUGGCAAACCCCACCGGGAGCAAGACCAAAUAGGGAUGGCAGCAGGCGCAAGUCUGCAGAACUGUUUCCGGUUCGUCAUCCGGGUCGGUCGCGCGAGGCGUCCAGCGAUGGGCGUCCCAGAGGAAUGGCCGUCCAGCUCAGCAAUGAGUGGACAGAACCCGGCUUACAGGCCGUCUGGCACC
rnacentral:RNase_P_RNA from 1 species